CCUACGGGAGGCAGCAGUGGGGAAUAUUGGGCGAUGGGCGAAAGCCUGACCCAGCAACGCCGCGUGAAGGAAGAAGGUCUUCGGAUUGUAAACUUCUUUUAUGAGGGACGAAGGACGUGACGGUACCUCAUGAAUAAGCCACGGCUAACUACGUGCCAGCAGCCGCGGUAAU
rnacentral:rRNA from 1 species